CCGCCAGAUAUUGAACAUAAAAUCUCGUGCAGAAACAGUCUUCAACAUUUCAAGCUGGGAAUUGGUUGUUGCUUUGGUUCUUCCUGUGGAAAAGGCGCCAUCAAGAUGGAUCUACCAGAGGUGUGCAGUGCUCGCCAGAAAUCCUGCUUCGAUGUCGGGUGAUGUCUAAUGUACUCCUACGAAAACCCUGAAUCCGAUGGAUCUCUAUCAGAGGUGUGCAGUGCGUUCGCCAAAAACCCUGCUAGUUCAAUCCUCCGAAACCCUGCUUCGGUGUCGGAUGAUGUCUAGUUCAAUCCUCCGAAACCCUAAUUCGGGUUACCAUGGAGCCACUCUAGCAAAUGGGCUCAAUUUUAGUGCUCACAAGUAGCCACUGAGAUGUGCCAGCAAUUAAUCUCCUAUCCCUUCAGGUUUCCCCCUGUCGCUGCUCGCGUUUUCUGGUUCAAUUUCGUGCUCGCUGCUGUUACCUCUGGAGUGUCCCUGGAUCUGUCAUCUGAUUGCUGGUAGAGGCUUGUGCAAUUACUGGCCCGAUCCAUGACGAUGACGGCAUUGAAUGACGACGUAUUUGGUUGCUUUGUUCUCAUCGAUCAUUUGCAUUCUGCCAUUUCCAUGUUUUUCUUUGCUAUCCAUUUCAAUGUUGAUGAUAGAGAUCUUCGGAAAGAAA